AACGAACGCUGGCGGCAUGCCUAACACAUGCAAGUCGAACGAGACCUUCGGGUCUAGUGGCGCACGGGUGCGUAACGCGUGGGAACCUGCCCUUAGGUUCGGAAUAACUCCCCGAAAGGGGUGCUAAUACCGGAUAAUGUCUUCGGACCAAAGAUUUAUCGCCUUUGGAUGGGCCCGCGUUGGAUUAGCUAGUUGGAGGGUAAAAGCCUACCAAGGCGACGAUCCAUAGCUGGUCUGAGAGGAUGAUCAGCCACACUGGGACUGAGACACGGCCCAGACUCCUACGGGAGGCAGCAGUGGGGAAUAUUGGACAAUGGGCGAAAGCCUGAUCCAGCAAUGCCGCGUGAGUGAUGAAGGCCUUAGGGUUGUAAAGCUCUUUUACCCGGGAUGAUAAUGACAGUACCGGGAGAAUAAGCUCCGGCUAACUCCGUG
rnacentral:rRNA from 1 species